rnacentral:rRNA from 1 species
CCGCGUGUGUGAAGAAGGCCUUUCGGGUUGUAAAGCACUUUCAGUCAGGAGGAAAGGUUAGUAGUUAAUACCUGCUAGCUGUGACGUUACUGACAGAAGAAGCACCGGCUAACUCCGUGCCAGCAGCCGCGGUAAUACGGAGGGUGCGAGCGUUAAUCGGAAUUACUGGGCGUAAAGCGUACGCAGGCGGUUUGUUAAGCGAGAUGUGAAAGCCCCGGGCUCAACCUGGGAACUGCAUUUCGAACUGGCAAACUAGAGUGUGAUAGAGGGUGGUAGAAUUUCAGGUGUAGCGGUGAAAUGCGUAGAGAUCUGAAGGAAUACCGAUGGCGAAGGCAGCCACCUGGGUCAACACUGACGCUCAUGUACGAAAGCGUGGGGAGCAAACAGGAUUAGAUACCCUGGUAGUCCACGCCGUAAACGAUGUCUACUAGAAGCUCGGAACUUCGGUUCUGUUUUUCAAAGCUAACGCAUUAAGUAGACCGCCUGGGGAGUACGGCCGCAAGGUUAAAACUCAAAUGAAUUGACGGGGGCCCGCACAAGCGGUGGAGCAUGUGGUUUAAUUCGAUGCAACGCGAAGAACCUUACCUACACUUGACAUACAGAGAACUU